rnacentral:tRNA from 2 species
CAGGGAAUAGUUUAAAUAGAAUAUCAACUUUGGGUGUUGAUGGUAGGACUUAAGUCUUUUCCUUGA